rnacentral:rRNA from 1 species
CGCGUAGGCGGUUCGCUAAGUCGGAUGUGAAAACUCUGGGCUCAACCCAGAGCCUGCAUCCGAAACUGGCGGGCUAGAGUUCUGGAGGGGGUAGCGGAAUUCCUGGUGUAGCGGUGAAAUGCGUAGAUAUCAGGAGGAACACCGGUGGCGAAGGCGGCUACCUGGACAGAAACUGACGCUGAGGCGCGAAAGCUAGGGGAGCAAACA